UGUUCUGUAGCUUAGUUGGUCAAAGCGCCGGUCUAGCGUACAAGGAGUCGUGAGUUCGAGUCUCACUAGAACGG
rfam:Aedes aegypti strain Liverpool supercont1.277 genomic scaffold, whole genome shotgun sequence.